AGAUAACCUAGAACCCUGUAUAUAAGCGGUAUGCUUUUGGACGGCACAGUUUACGUUUCACGAGCCUCAUAGAUACAUUGCUGUUAAAACCUGAAUAUCAUAAAGGACAACUUUAAAAGUGUUUCUUUCCGGUGUUGUUCACGGGCUUGUUCCUGAACAGCAAGUGAUGGAGAGAAGCGGAGUGAUAUUUCAACACCGUGAUCUACUGUCUCGAGAACUUCGGAAAGUUAGAUUUAAAGAAAGACAUUAUCCCUUUUGUAAAAAUGGGUCGUAAAAUCGGAGAAAUUUCUGUUGAAGUGGUCGAAUUGGUGCAGGAGGUGGAGCAACAGAAAAAAGACGUGAAAAUUACGUGUUACACUUCAACUACUAACACUGACGCCACUCGAAAACCAUCUGGCGUCAAAGGAUGCAGAGCAUCCACCAGACGAGUGGGCGACAUAUAAUCGACAGGAUCCACGCCCAGACUGUGUGGCAAGACUACCUUGGCCAAUCCCAGAGUCUACAGCUGACGACGCGGAUGUGAACGCCAUCUCUACGUCUGCUUUGGAUCACGGAACAAUGGAAGCCACUCAGCCUCUUCUUUAGACGACGCUCCUACGGUGUCCAAUCUCUCGGUCCACCUGGUCAGCGCAAGGGGCCGCAUUUGCCAACGCAGCCAGUGACAGCCUAUAGUAGUCUGGGGUCUAGUCGGCCUUAUGUAGCCAUGUGUAUUCUACAUUUUUUCAACCUCAAAUUGAAAUAACUGAGCUUAAAACGAUUUAAAAUGAUUUAACUGAAAACUAAUGAGGGUUAGUCUAAAGCGUCUGGAGUUGAAUUUGAAAUACCAUUUAGAAUGGCUGAAAUUUUAUUUGAAGUAACUCAGGGUUAAAUUAAAACAUCCGAGGUCAAUCUAUAAGAAAAGUGAAGUUUAUUCUAAAACAUCCCAUGUAAUUUAAAAGACCUGAUGUUUAUUUUAAAACAAACGAACUACAUAUAUGAUUACUUUCUGCCAAAUUGAAACAAAAGAAAUAGUUAUAUUAGGUUUAUGAUAAGUAAUUUUUAUCAACUAAAUAAUAGCAUUUUGUAAUAUAUAAAAAGUUAUUUAAAUGAUUACUGUAAACAUUCUCUUCACAAAAAAAUACUACCAGUUGUCGAGCUAUUCAUUGUAUCUUAUAAAUGAUAAUAAAACUAAGGAUAAAAUUA